AUUUAAGUAGCUUAAUUAAAGAGCGUAACACUGAAGAUGUUAAAGUGACUAAUAGGUCUUUAAAUA
rnacentral:tRNA from 1 species